rnacentral:rRNA from 1 species
AUUGAACGCUGGCGGCAGGCUUAACACAUGCAAGUCGAGCGGAGAUGAGGUGCUUGCACCUUAUCUUAGCGGCGGACGGAUGAGUAAUGCUUAGGAAUCUGCCUAUUAGUGGGGGACAACAUUCCGAAAGGAAUGCUAAUACCGCAUACGUCCUACGGGAGAAAGCAGGGGAUCUUCGGACCUUGCGCUAAUAGAUGAGCCUAAGUCGGAUUAGCUAGUUGGUGGGGUAAAGGCCUACCAAGGCGACGAUCUGUAGCGGGUCUGAGAGGAUGAUCAGCCAACCUGGGACUGAGACACGGCCCGGACUCCUACGGGAGGCAGCAGUGGGGAAUAUUGGACAAUGGGGGAACCCUGAUCCAGCCAUGCCGCGUGUGUGAAGAAGGCCUUAUGGUUGUAAAGCACUUUAAGCGAGGAGGAGGCUACUGAGACUAAUACUCUUGGAUAGUGGACGUUACUCGCAGAAUAAGCACCGGCUAACUCUGUGCCAGCAGCCGCGGUAAGAC